GCCAGUGUGGUGUAGUGGUUUGGGAGCUGGACUACAACUCUUAGAGACCAGGGUUCAAAUCCCCACUCAGCCA